rfam:Caulobacterales bacterium RIFCSPHIGHO2_01_FTLL_67_30 rifcsphigho2_01_scaffold_25153, whole genome shotgun sequence.
AGUCAGUAUUCGCUCCGAGCCGUCCGACCUACAGCAAUCGCGCCAAGGUCUGACGGCCGGAUCCGCAAGGAUCGAGGGCGGCGGGAGAAAUCCCUCCGCCUCCCGCCUCUGGAAAGGAGCUUCCAUGGCGUUUGA